UAUUGUUUUAUUUAUUCAUUUUAUGUUCUCAUCUAAACUCACAUGUUCCUCAUCUAUAUAUUUUGGCAUUCUCUCUCCUCAAAACCCUAACCUCAACCCCUAAAUUAAAAUCCUCAUCUUCUCGCUCAUCCGAAUCCGCCAUUUUCCAUUUACUUUCUGUAUUCAAGAUAUAAAAAUUUCCACUCAUUGUUGAAGCGACUCCUACCAUCUCCAUAAGAAAAUCAUGCUCUAAGAAUUCAAACCUGAAAUCGUGCGUGGUCAGCUUGUUUGCCGUUUUUAAUUGGCCUUGAUGUCGGUUAGGAUGGAGGUUUCUGGGUUUUUUUGUUUUUGUGAUUUGUUCAAAAAAAUGAAGGUAUUUUGGUAAUUGGGGUGGAUAACUCUUUAUGUUUUUUUAGAUCUAUCAGUUUGGGUUUGGAUUUUAGUUUUCUUGAUCUUGAUUUUGGGGAUUUCAUAUUCAUAAACUUGGACUAUUUGAAUUCUCUUUAAUUAAUGAUUAAUUUCUAUUUUAGUUUA